rnacentral:rRNA from 1 species
AGUGAACGCUGGCGGUAGGCCUAACACAUGCCAGUCGAACGGCAGCACAGUAAGAGCUUGCUCUUACGGGUGGCGAGUGGCGGACGGGUGAGGAAUACAUCGGAAUCUACUUUUUCGUGGGGGAUAACGUAGGGAAACUUACGCUAAUACCGCAUACGACCUACGGGUGAAAGCAGGGGAUCUUCGGACCUUGCGCGAUUGAAUGAGCCGAUGUCGGAUUAGCUAGUUGGCGGGGUAAAGGCCCACCAAGGCGACGAUCCGUAGCUGGUCUGAGAGGAUGAUCAGCCACACUGGAACUGAGACACGGUCCAGACUCCUACGGGAGGCAGCAGUGGGGAAUAUUGGACAAUGGGCGCAAGCCUGAUCCAGCCAUACCGCGGGGGUGAAGAAGGCCUUCGGGUUGUAAAGCCCUUUUGUUGGGAAAGAAAAGCAGCAGGUUAAUACCCCGCUGUUCUGACGGUACCCAAAGAAUAAGCACCGGCUAACUUCGUG